CCUACGUGAGGCAGCAGUGGGGAAUAUUGCGCAAUGGGCGAAAGCCUGACGCAGCGACGCCGCGUGAGGGAUGAAGGUCUUCGGAUCGUAAACCUCUGUCAGCAGGGAAGAACGGUCACUGUGCUAAUCAGCAGUGAAUUGACGGUACCUGCAAAGGAAGCACCGGCUAACUCCGUGCCAGCAGCCGCGGUAAUACGGAGGGUGCGAGCGUUAAUCGGAAUUACUGGGCGUAAAGCGCUCGUAGGCGGUAUGUCAAGUCAAGGGUGAAAUCCCCGCGCUGAACGUGGGAACUGCCUUUGAAACUGGCAAACUGGAGUGUGUGAGAGGAUAGUGGAAUUCCAGGUGUAGGAGUGAAAUCCGUAGAUAUCUGGAGGAACAUCAGUGGCGAAGGCGACUAUCUGGCACAUAACUGACGCUGAGGAGCGAAAGCGUGGGUAGCAAACAGGAUUAGAUACCCCGGUAGUC
rnacentral:rRNA from 1 species